rnacentral:rRNA from 1 species
AGUGAACGCUGGCGGUAGGCCUAACACAUGCAAGUCGAACGGCAGCACAGUAAGAGCUUGCUCUUACGGGUGGCGAGUGGCGGACGGGUGAGGAAUACAUCGGAAUCUACUUUUUCGUGGGGGAUAACGUAGGGAAAAUUACGCUAAUACCGCAUACGACCUACGGGUGAAAGCAGGGGAUCUUCGGACAUCAGAGGAUUGAAGGACCGAAUGUCGAAUUAGCUAGUUGGCGGGGUAAAGGCCCACCAAGGCGACGAUCCGUAGCUGGUCUGAGAGGAUGAUCAGCCACACUGGAACUGAGACACGGUCCAGACUCCUACGGGAGGCAGCAGUGGGGAAUAUUGGACAAUGGGCGCAAGCCUGAUCCAGCCAUACCGCGUGGGUGAAGAAGGCCUUCGGGUUGUAAAGCCCUUUUGUUGGGAAAGAAAAGCAGCAGGUUAAUACCCCGCUGUUCUGACGGUACCCAAAGAAUAAGCACCGGCUAACUUCGUG